rnacentral:rRNA from 1 species
UCAAGCGAACAAGUGCAUGUGGUGGAUGCCUUGGCGAUCACAGGCGAUGAAGGACGCGGUAGCCUGCGAAAAGCUUCGGGGAGCUGGCAAACAAGCUUUGAUCCGGAGAUGUCCGAAUGGGGAAACCCGGCCCGUAUGGGUCAUCCCUGACUGAAUCCAUAGGUCAGGGAAGCGAACGCGGCGAACUGAAACAUCUAAGUAGCUGCAGGAACAGAAAUCAACCGAGAUUCCCAAAGUAGUGGCGAACGAAAUGGGAAGAGCCUUGCACUCUUUAGCAGGACUGUUAGCAAAACGGGAUGGAAAGCCCGGCCAUAGCAGGUGAUAGCCCUGUAUGCGAAAACAGACUUGUGGAACUAGGUGUGCGACAAGUAGGGCGGGACACGUGAAAUCCUGUCUGAAGAUGGGGGGACCAUCCUCCAAGGCUAAAUACUCGUGAUCGACCGAUAGUGAACCAGUACCGUGAGGGAAAGGCGAAAAGAACCCCGGGAGGGGAGUGAAAUAGAUCCUGAAACCGCAUGCAUACAAACAGUCGGAGCCUCUUCGGGGGUGACGGCGUACCUUUUGUAUAAUGGGUCAGCGACUUACAUUCAGUGGCAAGCUUAACCGGUUAGGGAAGGCGUAGCGAAAGCGAGUCCGAACAGGGCGUUGAGUCGCUGGGUGUAGACCCGAAACCAGAUGAUCUAUCCAUGGCCAGGUUGAAGGUGCGGUAACACGUACUGGAGGACCGAACCCACUAACGUUGAAAAGUUAGGGGAUGAGCUGUGGAUAGGGGUGAAAGGCUAAACAAAUCUGGAAAUAGCUGGUUCUCUCCGAAAACUAUUUAGGUAGUGCCUCGUGUCUCACCUUCGGGGGUAGAGCACUGUCAUGGUUGGGGGGUCUAUUGCUGAUUACCCCGCCAUAGCAAACUCCGAAUACCGAAGAGUGCAAUCACGGGAGACAGACAUCGGGUGCUAACGUCCGGUGUCAAGAGGGAAACAACCCAGACCGCCAGCUAAGGUCCCCAAAUAUAGCUAAGUGGGAAACGAAGUGGGAAGGCUAAAACAGUCAGGAGGUUGGCUUAGAAGCAGCCACCCUUUAAAGAAAGCGUAAUAGCUCACUGAUCGAGUCGUCCUGCGCGGAAGAUGUAACGGGGCUAAGCUAUAUACCGAAGCUGCGGACGCACGCAAGUGCGUGGUAGGAGAGCGUUCUGUAAGCCUGUGAAGGUGUCUUGUAAAGGAUGCUGGAGGUAUCAGAAGUGCGAAUGCUGACAUGAGUAGCGAUAAAGGGGGUGAAAGGCCCCCUCGCCGUAAGCCCAAGGUUUCCUACGCAACGUUCAUCGGCGUAGGGUGAGUCGGCCCCUAAGGCGAGGCAGAGAUGCGUAGCUGAUGGGAAGCAGGUUAAUAUUCCUGCACCGUCGUAUGAUGCGAUGGGGGGACGGAUCGCGGAAGGUUGUCCGGGUGUUGGAAGUCCCGGUCCCUGUAGUGGAGAAGGCGCUUAGGCAAAUCCGGGCGCGGAAUUCAAGGCUAUGGGGCGAGCGGCCUAGUGCUGCGAAGCAAUUGGAAGUGGUUCCAAGAAAAGCCUCUAAGCUUCAGUCAUACGAGACCGUACCGCAAACCGACACAGGUGGGCGAGAUGAGUAUUCUAAGGCGCUUGAGAGAACUCGGGAGAAGGAACUCGGCAAAUUGGUACCGUAACUUCGGGAUAAGGUACGCCCUGGUAGCUUGACUGGCCUGCGCCAGAAGGGUGAAGGGGUUGCAAUAAAAUGGUGGCUGCGACUGUUUAAUAAAAACACAGCACUCUGCAAACACGAAAGUGGACGUAUAGGGUGUGACGCCUGCCCGGUGCCGGAAGAUUAAAUGAUGGGGUGCAAGCUCUUGAUUGAAGUCCCGGUAAACGGCGGCCGUAACUAUAACGGUCCUAAGGUAGCGAAAUUCCUUGUCGGGUAAGUUCCGACCUGCACGAAUGGCGUAACGAUGGCCACACUGUCUCCUCCCGAGACUCAGCGAAGUUGAAGUGUUUGUGAUGAUGCAAUCUCCCCGCGGCUAGACGGAAAGACCCCAUGAACCUUUACUGUAGCUUUGCAUUGGACUUUGAACCGAUCUGUGUAGGAUAGGUGGGAGGCUUUGAAGCGUGGACGCUAGUUCACGUGGAGCCGUCCUUGAAAUACCACCCUGGUUUGUUUGAGGUUCUAACCUUGGCCCGUGAAUCCGGGUCGGGGACAGUGCAUGGUAGGCAGUUUGACUGGGGCGGUCUCCUCCCAAAGUGUAACGGAGGAGUUCGAAGGUACGCUUGGUACGGUCGGACAUCGUACCUAAAGUGCAAUGGCAAAAGCGUGCUUAACUGCGAGACCGACAAGUCGAGCAGGUGCGAAAGCAGGACAUAGUGAUCCGGUGGUUCUGAAUGGAAGGGCCAUCGCUCAACGGAUAAAAGGUACUCUGGGGAUAACAGGCUGAUACCGCCCAAGAGUUCAUAUCGACGGCGGUGUUUGGCACCUCGAUGUCGGCUCAUCUCAUCCUGGGGCUGUAGCCGGUCCCAAGGGUAUGGCUGUUCGCCAUUUAAAGAGGUACGUGAGCUGGGUUUAAAACGUCGUGAGACAGUUUGGUCCCUAUCUGCCGUGGGCGUUGGAAUCUUGACGGGGGCUGCUCCUAGUACGAGAGGACCGGAGUGGACGUACCGCUGGUGUACCUGUUGUCUCGCCAGAGGCAUCGCAGGGUAGCUAUGUACGGAAGAGAUAACCGCUGAAAGCAUCUAAGCGGGAAACUCGCCUGAAGAUGAGGAUUCCCUGGAGGCUUGACCUCCUUGAAGGGUCGUUCGAGACCAGGACGUUGAUAGGCUGGGUGUGGAAGCGCAGUAAUGCGUUAAGCUAACCAGUACUAAUUGCCCGUAAGGCUUGAUCCU